rnacentral:rRNA from 1 species
UACGUAGGCAGCGAGCGUUGUUCGGAGUUACUGGGCGUAAAGGGUGCGUAGGCGGUUGUUUAAGUUUGGUGUGAAAUCCCCCGGCUCAACUGGGAGGGUGCGCCGAAUACUGAAUGACUAGAGUGCGGGAGAGGAUAGUGGAAUUCCUGGUGUAGCGGUGAAAUGCGUAGAUAUCGGGAGGAACACCAGUGGCGAAGGCGAUCAUCUGGGACUAACCUGACGCUGAGACGCGAAAGCGUGGGGAGCAAACAGG